rnacentral:rRNA from 1 species
AAUCAACGCUGGCGGCGUGCCUAACACAUGCAAGUCGCACGAGAAAGGGACUUCGGUCCUGAGUACAGUGGCGCACGGGUGAGUAACACGUGAAUCAUCUACCUUCGAGUCGGGGAAUAACUGAGAGAAAUCUUAGCUAAUACCGCAUAAUACCUACGGGUCAAAGCAGCAAUGCGCUUGAAGAGGAGUUCGCGGCAGAUUAGUUAGUUGGCAGGGUAAGGCCUACCAAGACGAUGAUCUGUAUCCGGCCUGAGAGGGCGCACGGACACACUGGAACUGAAACACGGUCCAGACUCCUACGGGAGGCAGCAGUGGGGAAUUUUGCGCAAUGGGGGAAACCCUGACGCAGCAACGCCGCGUGG